AUGUGGCUGAGAGAAGGCUGGACAGCAGCAGUGACCGGCACCUGUUUCCUUGGGAUUGCAGCACUUGGGUCUCACUCCCCUCCGGCCUCAUCUGUACCUGGGACUAAAAUGUGUGCUGGUGUGUCUCGUACAGGCUUCAUCCUUUUCUUGGCCCCGUCUCCCAGCACCCUCUCCUCACUGCCUUCUCUUAGACAGGACAGGGGCAGCCAGUCAUUUCUGAGUUGUCACCCAGUUCAGCACGCGGGUGUGGGCCUCCCCGACGUAAGGAAAUGUGCGGGUGUACACCUGCUGCUGACUGAAUCCAGAAGUGGGCAGGGGAGAGUGAAUCCCAACUUCGCACCCAGGAUGGAACUUGGGGACCAGCUGAAACCGAAUUUCAGGAGCCUGGGCGCUUCCUCAGGUUUAGCUACCUGGGAGGGGACCUCUGACCGCUUGGAGUCUCGACGAGCCCACACAAGGAGAUUUCGAGCCUUUGGACUGCAUCCCCGGAAGUCCUUUCCCGGCGUCCCCGCGCUCUGUGUGAUUGUAUUUACGUGGCUCUGACCCCUCCCCCAUCCUCUCCUGGACCUGUGACGUCAGGCAGUUCUUCUGUUCUAGGUGUUAUUCAUAAAAAGCCUUCGUUAUUGAGUAUUGAUGGGAAACUCCCAGAGUGGCUUCAGCAGGCAGCAGCUCCAGCGAGGACCCAGGCUCUCUAUCCCUCUCUCUGAGGCUGAAUGGGAGCUUGGCGCUUUUCAGACGGCCACAGCCGUUCCUCCUGGUUAAAGGCUCCGCGUUUUUUUCCCGUAGGAGCAAAGGUCACUGCUUCAGAGGGACAAGAGCUCUAGCCUCCCAGCAGCCCCUUAAAUAUGACGUCAUCUCCGCGAGUAUUGGGGGACGUUCAAAGGCAUCACAGAGCCUCUGAUAUGGGAUGGAUAGCCCUAAGUCCGAGCACGUCGGAGGGAGCACCCCUUCUGGGAUUCCCCGCAGCAGGCAGUGCACAGCAGUGAGAGGGGACACCGUGGCAGGCAGGAAGGGGGUUCCCCAAGAUUACAGAUACUGGAGGCCUGGCAGAGAAAUGGGCUUCUGGCCCCGUCUCUCCUCUUGGAGGCUGGGAGAGCGCUCUCUUCUUCCUCUCUGCCCCAGUGGGGUGCCUAACAAUGACCGGAAGUCCUUCUACUACUCUCCCAGGAGGAGGAAGGCAAAGCCGCGGAGAUACAGUGGGCCAGACAUCUCUUCAUGGCAACUGGAACCCAAUCCCGUAUAUUGAGACCGUCUGAGUGCAUAGGCUACAGCUCUCUGCACAUAGCCCAGUUCUCUGGCAAAACAGACUUUGUUUCAUCUGCAUUUUCUCCAUAACUUCAUUAAAACAUCAAUCAAUAAAAGAGUAAACUGAGUCCUGACUUGAGACUUU
rnacentral:lncRNA from 1 species